rnacentral:rRNA from 1 species
GGCUCAGGAUGAACGCUAGCUACAGGCUUAACACAUGCAAGUCGAGGGGCAGCAUGUCGGUUGCUUGCAACCGAUGAUGGCGACCGGCGCACGGGUGAGUAACGCGUAUCCAACCUACCCUUGUCCAUCGGAUAACCCGUCGAAAGGCGGCCUAACACGAUAUGCGGUUCUCAGCAGGCAUCUAACGAGAACGAAAUGUGAAGGAGAAGGAUGGGGGAUGCGUCUGAUUAGCUUGUUGGCGGGGUAACGGCCCACCAAGGCGACGAUCAGUAGGGGUUCUGAGAGGAAGGUCCCCCACAUUGGAACUGAGACACGGUCCAAACUCCUACGGGAGGCAGCAGUGAGGAAUAUUGGUCAAUGGACGGGAGUCUGAACCAGCCAAGUAGCGUGCAGGAUGACGGCCCUAUGGGUUGUAAACUGCUUUUAUAGGGGGAUAAAGUGUGCCACGUGUGGCAUAUUGCAGGUACCCUAUGAAUAAGGACCGGCUAAUUCCGUG